AGACGCGCGGAGGGAGGCGGCCAAGCGGCGCGGGCGGCUCUGCGGCGGGCGCGGUGGGCGCGGGCGGCGGGGCCCCGGGAUCCCCGCCCGCCUCCUCGGCGCGGCGCCGUCGCCGCGCGUCCCCACGCCCCGCGCUCCACGGCGCCCUCGCCCCGCGCGCCUCCCGCGCCCGCCUCCUGCCGGCCUCCCGCGCCGCGGCCGUCUGCGGAGCGAGCGCUCAGACGGAGUCCCCGGCCAACUUGAGCGGCGCCGAGCGGCAGCGGAGUCCCCGGCAGAGCCCCCCGGCCCAGUGGCGCGCGGAGGGGACCUGCGGCCGCCAGCGUCGCCUCUGCCCGCACCCCCGGACCUCGCCGCUCCCUCGGCGCGGGGCUCGGGCCGGUGCGAGAGCCGCGCCGCGAGACACGCACCGUGCGCGGCGGCGCCGCCCGCCUCCCUCUUCGCCGCCCCGGAGGGCGAAGCCGCCGCUCCCCCGACCCUCGCCGCGCGGCCGCGGCGCUGGAGCGCGCCCCUUCCGGGCCGGCAGCGGGCGCCCCCGCCUCGCAGCCGCCUUCGCCGGGUCGCCCCCGGAGGGGGCCGCGAGCUCCGCGCCCGGGCCGGAGGAUGUGCGCCCCCGCGGGCCGCCCCGCCUGAACCAUGCGCCCCAACGGCGGCGGCGCGCCGGCCGGCAUGGAGCCCCGCGCGGCCGCGCUCUGACUCGCUCUGCGCCCCGCGGCCGGCGGGCGGCGGGCGGCGGGCAGCGGGCGGCGGCGGACCGAAAGCCGGAGACCGGCGCCGCGGGACGGAAGCGAGCGGGCGCGGGCGCCGCGCAGAUGGCCGGGGCGAGCGAGAUCUGAGUCUCUGCUCCCCGAAACGUGACCAUGUGGAUUCAACAGCUUUUAGGACUCAGUUCCAUGUUCAUCCGCUGGCCCGGCUGCUCUCUAGGAAGCCAUGCUUGGAUCCUUAUAGCCAUGUUUCAGCUCGCCCUGGAUCUGCCCGCGUGUGAGUCCCUGGGCCCGGGCCCCGACUUCCGGCUGCUGCCCCGGCUGCCCCACCGGCCGCCCCGCUUGUGGAGUUUUAAGAGCGGACAGCCCGCCCGGGUCCCAGCGCCCGUGUGGAGCCCCCGGCCGCCCCGCUUGGAGCGUGGUCACAGUCACGGGCAGAUGCUGAGUCCCCGGGCCCGACGGGCGCACAGACCCAGGGACCAGGUGGCCACUCUGGGGCCCAAAGGGGGGCUGGCCAAGCCCCCAGCUGCUGCCAAAUCCAGCCCUUCCCUGGGCCCCUCCUCCUCUGCGGGGGGCAGUGGAGCUCCCACGGACCAGCAGGCCCUCCUGCGGCGGGGGAAGAGGCACCUGCAGGGGCCCGCCUUCAACAGCUUUGACUUCCAAGGCAGCAGGCCCACCACGGAGACGGAGUUCAUUGCCUGGGGGCCCACGGGGGAGGAGGAGGCCCCGGAAUCCAAUACAUUUCCAGGCGUUUAUGGCCCCACCACGGUCUCCAUCUUCCAAACACAGAAGACAGCUGUGGCCACUGCCACCGCCACCGCCACCACGGCCACCUCCGUGACACUGCAGACUCAGGGGCUCACCGAGCCCCUGGACCCCAGGAGUGGGAAACCGGUUGGGGUAAGCACAACGGAGCCUUCCACCAGCCCCAGCAGAGACAGUGGCAAAGUCAGCAAGCCCCCGCGGGUUCUGGGGGAGACCUCAGGUUUGGCGGUCCAUCAGAUCAUCACCAUCACCGUCUCCCUCAUCAUGGUCAUAGCUGCUCUGAUUACAACUCUUGUCUUAAAAAACUGCUGCGCCCAGAGCGGGAACCCUCGCAGGAACAGCCACCAGCGGAAGGCAAACCAUCAGGAGGAGAGCUGCCAGAACCUGACGGACUUCACGACCGCCCGGGUGCCCAGCAGCCUGGACAUCUUCACGGCCUAUAACGAAACCCUCCAGUGUUCACACGAGUGUGUCCGGGCGUCUGUGCCCGUGUACACCGACGAGACACUGCACCCAGCCGGGGAGUACAAAUCCACGUUUAACGGGAACCGACCCUCUUCUUCUGAUCGGCAUCUUAUUCCUGUGGCCUUUGUGUCUGAGAAAUGGUUUGAAAUCUCCUGCUGACUGGCCGAAGGCUUUUUUACCUCCUGGGGGCAGGGCAGACGCCAUGUGUCUGUUUUAUGGAUUCCGUUGGUGAACCUGUAAAAAAAAAAAAAAAAUUACAAAUUACAAAAAAACACAAAACCUAAAACUAAACUAUCUAAGGGGAGUGUCCCCACAUCUACCACUUCUGUUUGCCGGUGGGGAACUCACAGAGCAGGACGCUAUAGGCCAAAUAUAUUUUUAUAAAAAUGCCGACGCCUAUGGGGAACUGCCUUCUCCGAGAGCUUCUUUGGGGAACAGAAAGAAGAUGGUCCAAGAGAAAGAGCUGGAGACAGAGAAAGGGCAGGAGGACACACCGGAAGCUGGGAUUUGUACUGCGAUUUUGAACCUGUGCCAAUAAUACCAUUAUGUGCCAUGUACUGACCCGAGAGACUUGGUGACAAAGCCGACGCCAAGCAAACCGCGAGGAGAAAUCUUACAGAAAACAGGAGCGGGCAUCUCUUCCGACAGAGCUGCUCUUUCUGGUUAAUGUACAUAUAUAAAUAUAUAAAGACACACACACACACACACACACACACACACACACACACACACCCCUUUUUUGUACUGUAGCAAUUUUUGAAGACCUUCAAUGUUCCUUUUUAAAGAAAAAAUGUGUUCUCGGUCACAAAAUCUGAUUUCUUUAACAUGCUUAGUAUGAACAGAACGAACUGGUGUUUUCUACUUCGCAAACACACACAGGCAUACAUGUGCAUACACACACACGUACGCACAUAUAUAUGCAUAUAUCGGAAAUGCAGUUCCGCGAGCGAGCGUCUUCUUCCUGGUGACCUGGUGUCCCACUGCCAUCCGUGCCAGGUGGCCUUGAUGCACGCCAACUGGCCCUUGAAUGGCAGGUCCUGCGUUUGCUAGGCGUUUGGUGAGUGGCGCGAUGUGUGAUUUAUUAUCUUGGGCCAGAACGAAGAAUGCCAUGGUUUUAUAUACAUCCAUACAUAUACGUAAUCUGUAUACACAUAAAUACGAUCUUUUUUCAUUGAAUUGUUUGAAGAAGCUACCUAAUAGCCAUGUGCACACGUGUGUGGCCAGCCACCUACAGAUGGGCCUGAGUGGCAGAUUGGUGGGGGCUGGUGGAUCUUGGCCAUCUUUGUGUUAUACAGGCAUAGACCGAAUUAAAGAAAUUUUCCAGUUGCAAAAAUUAAAGGAAUAGAUCCUUGUAAUGUGUGUGCAUAUGUCAGAGCAGAACUCAGAAAUAUGUGAGCUCCCCGUUCGUUUGGCAAGGAGGGUCAGUGUACUCUGCAUUUCUUUCCCACAUGUUGGCACUCAGAGGUUGCCUGCUCUUUCUUGAGCCCACUAGUGACUUUAAAUUUUGGUGCACAUGGUGGCAAAGAUGCUGUCUCUUGUCGGCUCCCUUGGUCAACCUGUGUGCUCUACCAUCGAGAAUUCUACUGUGGAGCCUCCCAGUGGAAAUAGGGGCCCAGACAGGAGUCUCCUUACAGAGGAUCCCAACCACACACUUCACUGAAAAUACUCCCUGCCAGCCCUCACCUUACAAAGGCGCCCUGAUGCCCCAUCGUGUGGUUAGUGGGGGGCGCUGUAAGGGAUGGGGGUGUCUAUCUGGGCUUCAUGCUUCCCAGUUAGACAGAGGGCGUGUCCUCCUUCUGGGGACCCCAGAUUCGGUGCACAUGGCCUGUCUCCUAUGAGUGAUUUCAGCAGUAGGGCUUGCAAUGCCACAGACCAGGUUGGCAGGCAGGGAACUAACUCCCCCCACCGCCCUCCCACUUAUUGGUCAGGCCGGUGACCCGAUUCUUCCACCAGGCUCCCUCUGCAACACCUUGAAAUGUGCUUGAAAAGUUGGCUUUGGUACCUUUUGAAAUAUGGGAGAGUGAAAUGAUGCCAGUGGAGGGAAAACCUCAUUUUUGUCACACCCAUUAAGAUUGGUAUUGGUGAUAACUGCUCCAAAAGUAGGAUUUUUGGUUUUCGUUUUGUCACUUCCCAUCUCCCCGCAAAGCUUGAACAGGACGCAGCAAACAUCCAUCCCUGACAUCCAUCGCCUCCAGGCUCUAGACUCACUGCACGGCCUGCGCUCCACUCUCUACCCGGCAUCCAGCUCACACAUCAUUAUCCUCGGGUCACUCUCCCACUGGAGGGCGGCUCUGGGGCCUUCCUGACUCAGGUGAGCACAGCGUGGUGUGAGCACCAGCUGAGGGCUGUCAGCAUCCUUCAGGGCCGAGGGACCUGCUGCUCUGUGUCAGAUGCUCUGAGACGAAGGUGGUGGCUGAGGGGCCUGUUCUACCACUGACAGCAGAUCCUGGGAUUCCUGCAGGGAUGCAGCUCAGCGACUACUGCGUCGCCUCUGACUGCAGCUCGGCCCUUUCCCCGGACCUCAGGCUGCCCUCAGGAUGCCUGAGCACCAGGUGGUACCGAGCUUUGCAAGGAACCUGAGAAUAACGACCCCCUCCCGCCCCCAACACACACACACACACACACACACACACACACACACACACACGCCCCUUGGCUCACGCCCAGGGCAGGGCUGGGGGACACACAUACGGCCACCAGACAAGCCACACUUGCAGUUCCCCACCGGGAAGUCUAACAUCUGUCGAGACAAAUCCACUUUGGGGAAAGCUACCAUUUCAUGAUGAUUGAGGAAGUGUGUGUAGAGAUGUUUUAUUUUAUUUUUUUAAUGGUUACCUGGAAACAUGAUCUCUAUACAAAGAGAUAACAAAUGAAAGUGAGCAGGCUUACAAAACUCAGCUCCACCCACAGUCAAGUCUAUGAAACAAUACAAUAUGGUAUUUUUCCUGAAUCAGGCCCCGUGUACACGUGUCCAAGCAUUGCAUGUAUCUGUGUCUGAUGAGUUUGACCCAGCCACCCUUCCUCAGCCCUGGGGUGUUGUCCUGGGUCAGUCAGUGUUCCCUCUUCUAGGCUCCUUGGAUUUCAGAAUCCAUCAGCGAUCCCUCUGUGAUCAACCUCAGAGCUGUAACUUCUUAGGCCCCAGGGCCCCAGUUCGUACAUUUGCUUUAGCUUUUUGUUUUUUUCUUCUUCAAGAAAGGUAUUCAAAGGAAGGUACUCACCAUAUUGUUUGGUGAGGUCCACAAAGACGUGUCCACCUCCAUCUUAUCCCCUCAGGGAGUCUGAAACCCCACAGUCAUCAGCCCCUGGGCAGCACAUCACCUCUGUCCCUUGCCUACCUAUCGACUCUUAAAACUUUUAAAACAACAGGGCUUGGCUUUCAGGAGCUCUCUGCUGUGUGGUCAAGUCUAUUUCUAGGCUUAAUCACUUCUGUGUGUACUUGACGCCAUUUUUAUCUGGUUGAAAUAACGAGUGUAAUUCCUUUCAGUUACAAGUUCUGAGUGCCAUGGGGAAGUUGCUCCAGGCAAGAUCAGGAAAGCCUCCUGACCUUUUCCUACCAGACUCAGAGUCCAGCAGUGUCAAAGGAGAGGCCACUUAGGAAGCCAUGUUUUCUCCGAAGUGUUUCCAGUCCUUCCCAGUCCUGAGUGCGGGUGGACUUCUUGGGCUGCCUUCAACUCCCAGACAUUCAUCUCGGUCCUCCACGGAACAUUUUAAACUUAGAAGCCUACACUCAUCAGCAGAUCCCGCCACCUCUCUGAAUUUGACCACCAGGAAUUCAGUAAUUACUGCAGGGACCUUGCCCUCUUCAAACAUUCUUACUUCGGACAAGUUUGUUACUCUUUCUCAGCCACAUUUCAACAUCAAUCAGAACUUUCCUUACAGGUUUUGGUCUUCAGGAAUUCUGUGUGUGGAUGUCCACUCCCGUGUGUUAGCUCAUGAAAUGGACACACUAGAAAAUAGACCCUUUUGCCCUGUGUGGUCUCUAUUUGACUCUAUUGCCCAUAGAGAUAUUCCAUCUCUUUCGCUUCUUCUCCCAGAUGGUUCAGCAUGAUCAGUAGCUCAAGAUGCUUAUCUUGGAAGAUAAUAAGAGGAACCGGGGCUGAGGUUCAGGGCUGGGACCAGCAGCUCUUUUAUGGUCAGGCUGGAUCUUCUCAUACCUUUCAUUUCAAAACGGCAUGCGUACACACUUUUUCUUUGUCUACAUUUUGACACUCUUUCAUCAGGGAGAUCUCAGCCUAAGUGAGUCUCGACAUUCCACUGGGCUCUCUUUCCCUUGCUCUUCCAAGGAGCUAUUGCACAAGUUAGGAUGGGAAAAGAUACUGAGUUCUGUUGAGAUUCAGCUGUCGUUCUUGCUGCAGCAUGGGGGUUCUUUAAGAAGGCACUACUCCUAUAUGCACUUAGGAGAGAAACAUCUCUUUGUGCCUCCUGCAAUUAGCUGAAAAUCCAUCCAUCUGCUUAUUCAGCAGACUUGUUGAUCUUCUGCCAUGUUGGUGAUCAGUGAGGAGCAAGAUGGACAUGGUCCUGCCCCUGUGGGUUUUACUUUCUGUGCCAGAUAGAGGAAGACAAUUGACACAGAGCAAACAAUAAUUUCGAUAGAACGAUGAGUGAUAGGAAGGCAGCAGAGCAGAAUGAUAGGAAAGAAAGAAAGAGAAAUGGUAGUUGUCUGGGUUUCUUCAUCUGGCCAUCAUUUCCAACUGGGAAAUCAUCACUUGCUUCCUGAAGGUCGGUCUGAGAUUGAGGGAGCAAGAACACCUUACUCUUAUUUCCUGGAUAAAAAUGCAGUGCCAAGGAAUAAGAUGUCCUAGUCAUGACAAGCUCUUCCACCCCUCAGUCAUUCUAGCAAGGAGUGACACGGCAGGGGAAACAGAGAGAUGGGAUCAGGAUGAGGUAUGUCACCCAGGUGAUGAACUGGGUCUCCUCCUGGAUGGCUGUCCCCCUCUCUCCCAGGUCCCCUCCCCAUCCCUAGGUUGUCAAGUCACCAUUAGGUCAACCAGGUCUCAAGGAGGACAAAGGAAUUCAAAGACAAAGAGGAGGCGCACUGGACACCAGGGGCCCCAGGGAGAGCCACCCCUCCUCAUUAGAGAAGGCAGCUGCCUUUUCCAAAGUUCAACCUCAAUACAGAACAUAUUCAGUAACAUACUUCUUAAACAACAUCUGCUUUUAUUCCAAAACACGCUAUGAUUCAUGUAAUUUUGGAGUGGUUACUUCGGUGCAGUUUGUCAAUUUCCUAUGCCGUACUGUUUUUUGAUAGUUUGUUUGUUUUCCAAUGUAAAUAGCACAGCCUACAUAAAUGAGCCAAACUCUCACCAUCUGAGAAUCUUUGAUUAUUCUUCCCAACUUGUGCUUUUUCGCCUACUCUGAGCCAAGAUCUCUGUGUUAGUUACACUCAGCGUUAUUACUGGGGCUUCCAUCCAGGUCUUAAAUGAUUGAUUGCCAUUUUGAAAUAUGCUUCCAGCCCUUCAUUCCAAAAACUGUAAGGCAUGGUUGGGCAGUUUUGCAUUUCUGGGUUUCGAGUUUGCAUUUGAAUGUAAAGAGUGGGCUAAACAGAGGUGUAGGGAGAGAAGCAAUAUUUUUAGAUCACCCCACCCACUAAACAAACAGAAAGAUUGAGCUUCUUUGGACCACAAAUGAUUCUAGAAAGAUACCAGCCAGCAAGCCUACUAUAGCUAAACUCCAGAGUUCGAAUCGGUCAUCAUGUGAGCAUGCAAGUAAGAAAUUUAACUAUGGGCCAGUCUCUCUUUAUGCCAAAGGGGCAGCUGUAACAUUUGCACUUUGUCAGGGGAGCAGCCCCGCCAGAGCAGCCAGCCUCCCAGGGUAGGGGGUGGGCUCACACGUACCCCCUUCCACUCUGCUUCACUGUAGUUGAGUAGGUUCAACAGCUAGUCUGCACUGAUGAGAAAGCUGUGCACACAACGGGACCAAGAAUAUGAAAGGGCAAGGAGAAGGCAGGUGAGAUGCUUGUGUGGGCUCUUGAAGGCAGUAGUACAUGGACAGCGGGGGGUUGGGGACGAGGGCCUUCUCUCCAUGCAUUCCCAGACACCACGACAGCGACAAGUCCACACUUCACACUUGCAAACGCAUGGCCCACACCCAACUGUAAAGGCAACUGAAGAGCAUGGUCAUCUGGGUUAUAAUAUGUGUCUGUGUUGGAGCUGGAAUGCUAACAUCAAUCCUUCCAGGAGCCCCAUUGCGUUUCCCACUUGAUGGUUUCCCUGUUAAAUGCUCCAAGAGUUACUGGGCGUAGCAUCAAGAGGGUAGUUUUGAAUGAAUCCAUAAAUCUAAGUCUUAUAUGGAACAGCCUCAGCUUAAGAGGGGGGUAUAAACUGGGCCAGCCCUGCCAUCAGGGACACAAAGCUUUAUAAGCACUUAGGGUGGGGGGAGUGUAAAUAGCUGGUGAGUAGUGGGGGAAGGGUCAGUGAACCUGUAAAUGGCCCUGUUAUCUCUUCCAUGUAGGUAGGAAUCAGAACACACAUGUACCAUGGAGCACAUAAAUUGAAUGGGUUAAUAGAAUAAGCCCAGAGGGUUGCUAAGACAUCCCCUGGGGCUGAAUUAACUCUUGCUCCUAUCUUGAAUCUCAAAGUAAAAUAUCUGCUGAGUCAUGGAAUGGACGCAGAGAAGGUCAGGUUGUAGGAAACCCUUCUUCAUAAAGUUAAUUAUUUUUUCCUAGGUGGUCUCUGUCUUAAAAAUAAAAUCCCCUGGAGACCUGGAUUCUUAUCAACACCCAAAUAUUUGCAACACCAAAUAACUCCCCAGAAGCUUCAUUCGUAUGUGGACUGUCCACACUGGUGGGGUUCUGUCGGACUUUUGAAAUUCUGCAGUAGAUUCUUCAGUGUUGAUGUUUGUAGCUUUGGGAUUGGUGAACUGGCAGUUCACGCCAGUCUUACUGACUGUGGCAAGUUAUUGCUUCCAGAGAAGUGGGGAGAACUUUUUUCAUGGGAGAAAUGAAUCUUAAGUUCUAGUUUUGGGCAUCAUCAUGUACCACAAAGACUUGUUGCCACUAAAAGUCUGGGAUGGGGAACACUCUGAGGACCCCCGAUACAAUUGUUUCAAGUCACCACGCAGGAAACUACAAGAACGACCACCAUUGUCCCAAGCCAAAAGGGACACUUUCAAAGCCAUUGUGACACCCCAAACCCAAUUUCCAGCCUUUGGGGGAUUAAUUGGAGUAGGAGAGAGGGGUUUUUCUGAAGUUUUAGGUUGCUGGAAUCCACAUAGCAGUAGAGCAGUGAACCAAUAGCAUUGUUCUUGACAAGGUUUCGUGUGGCAGUGGCUACCACCAGAAAGAACUCUCUCCCUCUGCCUCCAAAGGCUAUUUUAGGCUGGACUCCACUCUGUAUUAUCUCUCCCUUAGGCUUAUGGAUUUCUAACAUCAAGUGUUGUUGUGACUGCCUACAACUUAAGGUCUACAAGGCAACGUGAGUAUUGUUUUCAUGAUGAACUUACAGCAAGUAGACAUGAACUGACAUGAAAGUUCUGGAAAGGAGAGAUUUCUAAGGCACUGUUAAGUAUUGUGCCAUUUCCACAUACAAGCACAACUGCCAGUCAAGGGCCUUAAAGACAGGGAUGGGUGGCUGGUUUUGAAAAGUCAGCACGCUUUACAGAGCCCACCUGUGGCCACACACGCCUUGAGUUGAACUGUCAUGUCCUACAGAAAACACAUUUUGUUUCAUUACUUUUGUUCUUUUGCUUUUCAUGUGUAUUUGGGUUGCUUCCUCUGAAGCCAGAAGGGUGAAAGGACUUGAACAAAAUCGGUUCUCAGUCGACUGACCAUAAAUUUGAUCCUUUGAUGAAUUCCCAGCACAAGAUGACAUGGAAUGACUUGGGGUUCAGCAAAGGUUUCAGAGAUGCAUAUGUGUUCUGCUUGGUGGGAAGAUGAGCACUGUCCAUGGCAUUUGCUGCUCCCUGAGAUGUUCUCCAGUAGUGGGGAGAGGAGAUGUGGGAACUUGCAAAGUUUGGGAAUGAAACGUUGAGAUUUCGGGAAAAUAUUGUAAUCAGUUUGGGGUUCUGGAUAAUUGGUUUCUUAAAAACUAGAGAGUGUUGUGGUUUUUUUUUUUUUCUUU